UGAGUAUAGAAGCUGUGAUAUUAUGUUUCAGCUGUUCAAGGUGCUGGUGAGGCCUUAGGUGGAGUAUUGUGUUCAGUUUUGGUCACCCGGCUAUUGGAAAGAUGCUAAACUGGAGAGGGUGCAGAGAAGAU